rnacentral:rRNA from 1 species
GACGCACGCUGGCGGCGUGCUUAACACAUGCAAGUCGAACGGAGUGGCGAACGGGUGAGUAACACGUUGGUGACCUGCCCUGCACUUCGGGAUACGCCUGGGAAACUGGGUCUAAUACCGGAUAGUGGGGGAUGGGCCCGCGGCCUAUCAGCGUGUUGGUGGGGUAAUGGCCUACCAAGGCGGCGACGGGUAGCCGGCCUGAGAGGGUGGACGGACACAUGGGGACUGAGACAGGGCCCAGAAGCCUACGGGAGGCAGCAGUGGGGAAUAUUGCACAAUAGGCGGAAGACUGAUGCAGCGACGCCGCGUGGGGGAGGACGGCCUGCGGGUUGUAAACUCCGUUCACCAUCGACGCGGUAGAUGGAGAAGAAGCACCGGCUAACUACGUGCCAGCCGCCGCGGUAAUAC